UCUGAGUCAUCUGUGAAGUCUUUGCAUGGUUGUGAGCGGAGACACAACAGGAUCUUUCUUACAUCUUGAAAGGAUCUCUGGCUACUGAGUUCAAAUCUUCUGUAAAGGGGACCAGCUGGGGAGUUAUUUUAGUAAUUUAGGGCAGAGGCUGCAGUAGCUGAGAUGAAGAUGUGAGCAGCAGAGGCAUUAAGAAGGAGUCAUGUUCUGUAUAUAUUUUGAAAGCAGAGCCAAAGCAUCCCCAAUGAUUUGGACUCCAAUUGGUCCUGGGCAGAGUCUCACCUGCUAAGCUUCCCCAUCUCUUGGCCAAGGGACCCCUGGACACUGUGGGACAUCAGCACCAUCCACCAGUUAGGAGCUCAGACUUGAAGCCUGGCUUUCUCCCCCUCUGCUGGCUAAAUUUAUAAUCCGACCUCCCAGAUAUUCCUGGUGCAGCCACUCCCUGGACCACACUUUGAGAACUCUGGGCUACAUACGACUGUGGCUGGUGGCCGUGGGGUAGAAAAGCAGGUAACUGGAGAUGAAGAGAUCAAGGAACCAAGAGGCCUGGAUGUGCGGUGACUCAUUCAGAUGGCUGCUGAGGUCACUCAGGAUGGACACCAGACAAGACAGAGAAAAGGACCAUGAGCCAGAAGGCAAAGUCAUCAGUGAAUGGGAGAGGCACAGCGAGGGACAAAGGACAAAAGGCUCUUCAUGACGGAGAGGAGCUAGGGUGAAGGGAGGGAUUUAACCUGACGGCAAGAGUCUUAUAGGAGCAGGAGUAUUUCAAAAAUACUGGAAAGUAAAGGUCUGGCAUUGGCUUUGAAAAGCAAUUUAGGUACUAAGAGAAUAUGUAAGGGAAUAUUCAUAAUGAGAGAAUAAGAAGCUUCCGUUUAAGAAAGCUGCUGGAAAAGCCGUGUUCUCAGGGGAGAAAUUAAUCUUGAUUAAAGAGUAAGAUACAUCCUGUAAAGAAAUCCAGGAUGUGGGAGAGUUAUUAGAUCAUGGAGAAAGUUCCAGAGGACACGGUGAAAAGAAGUGAGGAAUGAGAACCUAGAGAAGAGAACAGGGAGCACAGAGCAUUCUGAGACUGAGAAUUUGGAAGAAUGAAGUUGGCCAGAGGGGUUGACGUUGUGGGCAAAGAUGGAGGAAACAGGACGUGAGGCACAGGAUAACGUAAUCCUGACAAACUCCAGCGAAGAGCGACUUUCUUCCCCACUAGCCUUGUGGAGUGCUCCCCUGGACUGCCGUGGCAUAGAAAAUUCCAAGACGAGAGACGACUUGCAAAGAGAGGCCCAACUGUGCCAGCUGAGAAUGGAAAAUGGAUGGAGUAGAAUGAAUGAGCCCAGGGGGAACCAGCUAACCCACAGAAUUGUGAGAAAUUACUGUUACUUUUUAAGUCACUAUGUUUUGGGGCAUUUCUUAUGCAGCAAUAGAUAGCUGAUAAAGAACUCUAGGGAGAUGUUGGGGUGUCUGUAGAGCUACCAAUCAUGUUGUUGGUCUAAUGCAAUAUUUCUGAUACUUGGGAGACAAUGAAUAAGACAAGCACAUUUUUAGGUUCUUUCUAUAUAUCAUCGAGUCCUUGGAUUUAUUGGUCUUUUCUGAAAGCCACUUUCAAAGGUG
ensembl:lncRNA